rnacentral:rRNA from 1 species
AGAGUUUGAUCCUGGCUCAGAAUGAACGCUGGCGGUGUGCUUAACACAUGCAAGUCGAACGAGAAAGCCCCUUCGGGGGUGAGUACAGUGGCGAACGGGUGAGUAACGCGUAAGAAUUUGCCCUUUAGUGAAGGAUACCUUCGGGAAACCGAGGUUAAUACUGCAUACGUCCCUUCGGGGAGAAAGGUGGCCUCUUGCUACCGCUAAAGGAUGAGCUUGCGUACUAUUAGCUAGUUGGUAGGGUAAAGGCCUACCAAGGCUAUGAUGGUUAGCCGACCUGAGAGGGUGAUCGGCCACAUUGGGACUGAGAUACGGCCCAGACUCCUACGGGAGGCAGCAGUGGGGAAUUUUGCACAAUGGGCGAAAGCCUGAUGCAGCGACACCGCGUGAGGGAAGACGGUUUUCGGAUUGUAAACCUCUGUUAAGUGGGAAGAAAGACGUGUGGGUAAUAUCCACACGGGAUGACGGUACCACUAGAGAAAGCUCCGGCUAACUUCGUGCCAGCAGCCGCGGUAAUACGAAGGGAGCGAGCGUUAUUCGGAAUUACUGGGCGUAAAGGGCGCGUAGGCGGCUUGUUAAGUCAGUUGUUAAAGCCCAUGGCUUACCCAUGGAUCAGCAAUUGAUACUGAUAGGCUAAGAGGGCAAGAGAGAGAAGUGGAAUUCCCGGAGUAGCGGUAAAAUGCGUAGAUCUCGGGAGGAACACCGAUGGCGAAGGCAGCUUCUUGGCUUGUACCUGACGCUGAGGCGCGAAAGCGUGGGGAGCAAACAGGAUUAGAUACCCUGGUAGUCCACGCCGUAAACGAUGAUCACUAGAUGUCGGUUUCGCGUAGCGAGAUCGGUGUCAAAGCUAACGCGUUAAGUGAUCCGCCUGGGGAGUACGGUCGCAAGAUUAAAACUCAAAGGAAUUGACGGGGGUCCGCACAAGCGGUGGAACAUGUGGUUUAAUUCGACACUACGCGAGGAACCUUACCUAGACUUGACAUGUAUGAGACCGCUGCAGAGAUGCAGUUUUCCUAGUUUACUAGGACUCUUACACAGGUGCUGCAUGGCUGUCGUCAGCUCGUGUCGUGAGAUGUUGGGUUAAGUCCUUUAACGAGCGCAACCCUUGCCGUUAGUUGCUAGUCUUCGGACGCACUCUAGCGGGACUGCCUUGGAAACAAGGAGGAAGGUGGGGAUGACGUCAAGUCCUCAUGGCCCUUAUGUCUAGGGCUACACACGUGUUACAAUGGCGAGUACAAUAGGGAGCGAUACCGCGAGGUGGAGCAAAUCCUUUAAAGCUCGUCUAAGUUCGGAUUGAAGUCUGCAAUUCGACUUCAUGAAGUUGAAAUCGCUAGUAAUCGCGUAUCAGAACGACGCGGUGAAUGCGUUCUCGGACCUUGUACACACCGCCCGUCACACCACGAAAGUCGUUUACACCCAAAGUCGUCUUAGCUAACCUGUAAGGGAGGCGGAUGCCUAAGGUGUGGGGGAUGAUUGGGGUGAAGUCGUAACAAGGUAGCUGUAGGAGAACCUGCGGCUGGAUCACCUCCUU